CAGGCAAGAACCUGAAGGAGGACAAAUUUGGCCUUGAGAAUGGCUACAGUCACUUCCGACCCUCCCUGGAGAAGGUGGACCCCACCACAGAGCUCCACAUUCAGAAGCCAGAAGUGGUGACGACGUCUCUGUGAGGGAUAUGGCUCCCACCCUCCAUCCAGAUUUGGACAACAGAGAGAGGCCCACCGCAGGCAACCCUGGGUGGUCAGGAGCAAGCCGAGGCCAGGCCUGCAGAUCUGCUUAGGGGUGGCGGACUCGGCCAGUGGUCCCUUGCCCUGGGCCAUGAAGGGGGUUGGCCAGGAGCCCUCACCCCUCUGUCCAGGAGCCCCAAGGUUUCCAGAUACCCUGCCGUCUUGUUUGCUCUUGGGUGAUUCCUCGGUCUGGAAUUUACCUCUAAUAAAAGCAGCUCUUAAAGUGCA